UGCUCGCUUCGGCAGCACAUAUACUAGAA
rnacentral:snRNA from 1 species